GUGUCAGCAGCCGCGGUAAGACAGAGGGUGCAAACGUUGUUCGGAAUUACUGGGCGUAAAGCGCGUGUAGGCGGCUCGAAAAGUCGGGUGUGAAAGCCCUUAGCUCAACUGAGGAAGUGCACUCGAAACUCUCGAGCUUGAGUUCUGGAGAGGAUGGUGGAAUUCUCGGUGUAGAGGUGAAAUUCGUAGAUAUCGAGAGGAACACCGGUGGCGAAGGCGGCCAUCUGGACAGAUACUGACGCUGAGACGCGAAAGCGUGGGUAGCAAACAGGAUUAGAUACCCUGGUAGUCCACGCCGUAAACGAUGGGUGCUAGGUGUCGCGGGCAAUGACUCCUGCGGUGCCGAAGCAAACGCAUUAAGCACCCCGCCUGGGGAGUACGGCCGCAAGGCUAAA
rnacentral:rRNA from 1 species